rnacentral:rRNA from 1 species
GAUGAACGCUGGCGGCGUGCCUAAUACAUGCAAGUCGAGCGAAUGGAUUAAGAGCUUGCUCUUAUGAAGUUAGCGGCGGACGGGUGAGUAACACGUGGGUAACCUGCCCAUAAGACUGGGAUAACUCCGGGAAACCGGGGUUAAUACCGGAUAACAUUUUGAACCGCAUGGUUCGAAAUUGAAAGGCGGCUUCGGCUGUCACUUAUGGAUGGACCCGCGUCGCAUUAGCUAGUUGGGGAGGUAACGGCUCACCAAGGCAACGAUGCGUAGCCGACCUGAGAGGGUGAUCGGCCACACUGGGACUGAGACACGGCCCAGACUCCUACGGGAGGCAGCAGUAGGGAAUCUUCCGCAAUGGACGAAAGUCUGACGGAGCAACGCCGCGUGAGUGAUGAAGGCUUUCGGGUCGUAAAACUCUGUUGUUAGGGAAGAACAAGUGCUAGUUGAAUAAGCUGGCACCUUGACGGUACCUAACCAGAAAGCCACGGCUAACUACGUGCCAGCCGCCGCCGUAA